rnacentral:rRNA from 1 species
CCUACGGGCGGCAGCAGUGGGGAAUAUUGGGCAAUGGGCGCAAGCCUGACCCAGCAACGCCGCGUGAAGGAAGAAGGCUUUCGGGUUGUAAACUUCUUUUCUCAGGGACGAAGAAAGUGACGGUACCUGAGGAAUAAGCCACGGCUAACUACGUGCCAGCAGCCGCGGUAAGACGUAGGUGGCAAGCGUUAUCCGGAUUUACUGGGUGUAAAGGGCGUGUAGGCGGGACGGCAAGUCAGAUGUGAAAACCACGGGCUCAACCUGUGGACUGCAUUUGAAACUGUAGUUCUUGAGUACUGGAGAGGCAGACGGAAUUCCUAGUGUAGCGGUGAAAUGCGUAGAUAUUAGGAGGAACACCAGUGGCGAAGGCGGUCUGCUGGACAGCAACUGACGCUGAGGCGCGAAAGCGUGGGGAGCAAACAGGAUUAGAUACCCGUGUAGUC